rnacentral:rRNA from 1 species
UAGGGGGCAAGCGUUGUCCGGAUUUAUUGGGCGUAAAGAGCGUGUAGGCGGCUAGGUAGGUCCGUUGUGAAAACUCGAGGCUCAACCUCGAGACGCCGAUGGAAACCAUCUAGCUAGAGUCCGGAAGAGGAGAGUGGAAUUCCUGGUGUAGCGGUGAAAUGCGCAGAUAUCAGGAAGAACACCCGUGGCUAAGGCGGCUCUCUAGUACGGUACUGACGCUGAGACGCGAAAGCGUGGGGAGCGAACAGG